CCUGACCGAGCGACGCCGCGUGCGGGAUGAAGGCCUUCGGUGUAAACCGCUGUCGUAGGGGAGGAAGAUGCCGUGAAGAACGGUGUUUGACCGAUCCUAGGAGGAAGGGCCGGCUAAUCUCGUGCCAGCAGCCGCGGUAAUACGAGAGGCCCAAACGUUAUUCGGAUUUACUGGGCUUAAAGAGUUCGUAGGCGGCGCGGAAAGUAGGGUGUGAAAGCCCUCGGCUCAACCGAGGAAUUGCGCCCUAAACUGCCGUGCUCGAGGAACCUAGAGGUGAGCAGAACAGAUGGUGGAGCGGUGAAAUGCGUUGAUAUCAUCUGGAAUACCGGAGGCGAAGGCGGCUCACUGGGGGUUUUCUGACGCUGAGGAACGAAAGCCAGGGGAGCGAACGGGAUUAGAUACCCCGGUAGUCCUGGCCGUAAACGAUGAGCACUAGGCCGGAGGUCUGCACAGAUUUCCGGCCGUAGCUAAAGUGUUAAGUGCUCCGCCUGGGGAGUAUGGUCGCAAGGCUG
rnacentral:rRNA from 1 species